rnacentral:rRNA from 1 species
GAUGAACGCUGGCGGCGUGCCUAAUACAUGCAAGUCGAGCGAACGGACGAGAAGCUUGCUUCUCUGAUGUUAGCGGCGGACGGGUGAGUAACACGUGGAUAACCUACCUAUAAGACUGGGAUAACUUCGGGAAACCGGAGCUAAUACCGGAUAAUAUUUUGAACCGCAUGGUUCGAAAGUGAAAGACGGUCUUGCUGUCACUUAUAGAUGGAUCCGCGCUGCAUUAGCUAGUUGGUAAGGUAACGGCUUACCAAGGCAACGAUGCAUAGCCGACCUGAGAGGGUGAUCGGCCACACUGGAACUGAGACACGGUCCAGACACCUACGGGAGGCAGCAGGAGGGAAUCUUCCGCAAGGGGCGAAAGCCUGACGGAGCAACGCCGCGUGAGUGAUGAAGGUCUUCGGAUCGGAAAACUCUGUUAUGAGGGAAGAACAUAUGUGUAAGUAACUGUGCACAUCUUGACGGUACCUAAUCAGAAAGCCACGGCUAACUACGUG